CCAAGGAGUCUAAUUAGGCAUCAAGUCGAUCGGUCUUGAUAGGCCAGACGGGUGGAUUCGUCCACCGAUUGAAGGCGUAAGAAAUCAAAUCAUGUGAUCAUGGGGGCAAUACCAGCCCUUAUGCGCAACAUGUGCCUGUUCGUAUAGUAAUGUUAGCAAUAACUUACUGGGCGGAGCAAAGAGAUGCCUGAUUGGUACCCGAAAGAUGGUGAACUAUGCUUGGGCAAAUUGAAGCCAGAGGAAACUCUGGUGGAGGAUUGUAGCGAUUCUGACGUGCAAAUCGAUCGUCAGACCUGAGUAUAGGGGCGAAAGACUAAUCGAACCAUC
rnacentral:rRNA from 1 species